rnacentral:misc_RNA from 1 species
AAACUGCGAUACGUAGUGUGAAUUGCAGAAUUCAGUGAAUCAUCGAAUCUUUGAACGCAAAUUGCGCUGUUGGGUAUUCCUGACAGCAUGCUUGGCUGAGUAUCAUCUGGAUAAAUCACAAAUGCUUUUGCGUUUGUGGAAUUGAGGCGUCACAUUGGCAACAAUGGGUCCCUUUAAAUACAGUCAGGCGAAGGACGACAGCGUUCUCGUGCCACUAGUGUGUCAAUUGUCCUCUUGGGCAUCAUGCGCUAUGUCGGUUACUUGGACACCAAAGCUGGCGACUUGAAGCCUAUUACACAAAUCUUCUGAAACUUUGAUCUCAGCUCAAGCAAGACUACCCGCUGAACUUAA